UGGGGAAUUUUGGACAAUGGGCGCAAGCCUGAUCCAGCCAUGCCGCGUGCGGGAAGAAGGCCUUCGGGUUGUAAACCGCUUUUGUCAGGGAAGAAAAGGUUCUGGUUAAUACCUGGGACUCAUGACGGUACCUGAAGAAUAAGCACCGGCUAACUACGUGCCAGCAGCCGCGGUAAUACGUAGGGUGCAAGCGUUAAUCGGAAUUACUGGGCGUAAAGCGUGCGCAGGCGGUUAUGCAAGACAGAGGUGAAAUCCCCGGGCUCAACCUGGGAACUGCCUUUGUGACGGCAUAGCUAGAGUACGGUAGAGGGGGAUGGAAUUCCGCGUGUAGCAGUGGAAUGCGUAGAUAUGCGGAGGAACACCGAUGGCGAAGGCAAUCCCCUGGACCUGUACUGACGCUCAUGCACGAAAGCGUGGGGAGCAAACAGG
rnacentral:rRNA from 1 species